UAUGGAAGUAAAUCUCCAUAAGCUUACGACGACUUGCAUAGUUGGCAACGAUUAUGUGAUAAGUCGUGGGACAAUGUAUUUAAACUAAAGAGUGUGAAGGUUAACACCAAACGCGUUACAUCAAUAAUUUUCGUUCGUGGUGAGU
rfam:Rhizophagus irregularis DAOM 181602 strain DAOM 197198 GLOINscaffold_2292_Cont2294, whole genome shotgun sequence.